rnacentral:misc_RNA from 1 species
CCAAUAGCGUAUAUUAAAGUUGUUGCAGUUAAAAAGCUCGUAGUUGAAUUUCGAGAUCGGCUUACUGGUCGUGCUUUUGUACGUACUGGUAAAUCGGUUUCUCCUUUCUGACGAACUUUAAUGCCAUUAAUUUGGUGUUUUAGGGAAUCAGGACUGUUACUUUGAAAAAAUUAGAGUGUUUAAAGCAGGCUCACGCUUGAAUACAUUAGCAUGGAAUAACGGAAUAGGACGUUUGAUUCUAUUUUGUUGGUUUCUAGGAUCGACGUAAUGAUUAAUAGGGAUAGUUGGGGGCAUUAGUAUUCAAUUGCCAGAGGUGAAAUUCUUGGAUUUAUUGAAGACUAACUACUGCGAAAGCAUUUGCCAAGGAUGUUUUCAUUAAUCAAGAACGAAAGUUAGGGGAUCGAAGACGAUCAGAUACCGUCGUAGUCUUAACCAUAAACUAUGCCGACUAGGGAUCGGAUGAUGUUAAUUUUUUAAUGACUCAUUCGGCGCCUUACG